GGCUCAACUUUAAUUUUGUAAGGGCUCAUAGCCGACACCCUUAUCCCCUGAACCCCCAACUGCCCCUUUUCGCUUCUCAUUUUUCUUCCUUUUUCAAAAACAGCUCACUUACCUUCUCUCUUAUUCUCAACCAAAAGUUCUCUUAGGGCACAACGAGAUAUUCCCUUGAGCUAAUCAAACUCUUCCUUCGUCUACUCCAAGUCUUGGUACUCCUUCCACUAAGGGUUCCUUAUGUUAGCUUUCAGAAAUAAGAACCGUAGCCGUCACCUUCCUCAGUGCACCAAGAAUUCGUUCUGCUAGAGUUAGGUUCUUACUGUUGUUGAGCUAGUUCGAAGUUGCCUCCUACUCCAAUUCUCCCGUUCGUUCCUUGAAGCUGUUGUGCUCGUGCGUUCGGUAGCGAGGGCGUGUCGGGUCGUGUUGCUAGCUUAUUCCAGAUGGGCGAAGUUCUCGUGGUCAACAAGGGAAUGGUGAUUCCACCGUUUAGCCGUCUGGGCUGGAUCUUACACUUCUCUUCUUCAUGUCUUCUUUAGGGCUAUGGCCCCUGUACUCGUUGUCUUUGGAUUGUAAACUCUUAGUUAAACUGUUAUCCUGUUUUUGUUGGCAUCAUGGUGUGCCUGGUUUUGUAGGGGUGAUGGUAUGAACCCCCGGACUACAUUGUUGAUUAUCUCUGUGUGACGUUUCCUUUAAUUUUAUGUAUUAAAUUAAAUGGGGCGUUACAUUUAUGGUAUCAGAGCGGUCAUUCCUUAGGUCUGUGGACUUGGGUUGUCCGCUUAGCUUUCUCUGUGUGUCUCUGAGUGUUUAGUUAAAAUUCUUGCCUUUAUCAAGCCUAACCAAGUGAUUUUCUGUGUGCCAGUGGACUAUGGCACCUCCUCGUCGAGCUUCUCAAUCAUCUCAGGGGGACGCACCGGAU